GGGUUGUGAGGUUAAGCGACUAAGCGUACACGGUGGAUGCCCUGGCAGUCAGAGGCGAUGAAGGGCGUGCUAAUCUGCGAUAAGCGCCGGUAAGGUGAUAUGAACCGUUAUAACCGGCGAUACCCGAAUGGGGAAACCCAGUGUGACUCGUCACACUAUCAUUAACUGAAUCCAUAGGUUAAUGAGGCGAACCGGGGGAACUGAAACAUCUAAGUACCCCGAGGAAAAGAAAUCAACCGAGAUUCCCCCAGUAGCGGCGAGCGAACGGGGAGGAGCCCAGAGCCUGAAUCAGCAUGUGUGUUAGUGGAAGCGUCUGGAAAGGCGCGCGAUACAGGGUGACAGCCCCGUACACAAAAGCGCAUGUGCUGUGAGCUCGAUGAGUAGGGCGGGACACGUGGUAUCCUGUCUGAAUAUGGGGGGACCAUCCUCCAAGGCUAAAUACUCCUGACUGACCGAUAGUGAACCAGUACCGUGAGGGAAAGGCGAAAAGAACCCCGGCGAGGGGAGUGAAAAAGAACCUGAAACCGUGUACGUACAAGCAGUGGGAGCACCCUUUGGGGUGUGACUGCGUACCUUUUGUAUAAUGGGUCAGCGACUUAUAUUCUGUAGCAAGGUUAACCGUAUAGGGGAGCCGGAGGGAAACCGAGUCUUAAU
rnacentral:rRNA from 2 species